GAGGUGCUGCAUGGCUGUCGUCAGCUCGUGUCGUGAGAUGUUGGGUUAAGACCCGCAACGAGCGCAACCCUUAUCCCUAGUUGCCAGCGAGUCAAGUCGGGCACUCUAGUGAAACCGCCCCGGAUAACGGGGAGGAAGGUGGGGAAGUCGUCAAGUCCUCAUGGCCUUUAUGACCAGGGCUACACACGUGCUACAAUGGUCGGAACAAACCGUCGCAAACCUGCCAAGGGGCGCUAAUCGGAAAAAGCCGGCCUCAGUUCGGAUUUGGAGUCUGCAACUCGACUUCCAUGAAAGCUGGAAUCGCUAGUAAUUCGCAGAUCAGAACGCUGCGGUGAAUACGUUCCCGGGCCUUGUACACACCGCCCGUCACAUCACGAAAGUGGACUGCACUAGAAGCCGGUGAGCCAACCGCAAGGGGGCAGCCGUCCAAGGUAUGGUUCAUGAUUGGGGUG
rnacentral:rRNA from 1 species